rnacentral:lncRNA from 1 species
GCGGGGUUAGUUCUUAGUAGGACUUAAGGAAACGAUCUUGAGGAAUGAAAAACGAAGGAUACACCGUCACCCGUUCUCCCCUAUUCAAGUGAUAGAAGUUCGACUACUAGAAGCAAAUAAUGAUCACAUUCUUUGAAUCAUGCCAUAAUGAUCGGUCAUAUUUAGAGGAAAUGAAAAAGGAAAAAUCAUAGGAAUUGGAAAGAUAGGUACAAACCUUUCC